GAUGAACGCUGGCGGCGUGCCUAAUACAUGCAAGUCGAGCGAACGGACGAGAAGCUUGCUUCUCUGAUGUUAGCGGCGGACGGGUGAGUAACACGUGGAUAACCUACCUAUAAGACUGGGAUAACUUCGGGAAACCGGAGCUAAUACCGGAUGAUAUUUUGAACCGCAUGGUUCAAAAGUGAAAGACGGUCUUGCUGUCACUUAUAGAUGGAUCCGCGCUGCAUUAGCUAGUUGGUAAGGUAACGGCUUACCAAGGCAACGAUGCAUAGCCGACCUGAGAGGGUGAUCGGCCACACUGGAACUGAGACACGGUCCAGACUCCUACGGGAGGCAGCAGUAGGGAAUCUUCCGCAAUGGGCGAAAGCCUGACGGAGCAACGCCGCGUGAGUGAAGAAGGUCUUCGGAUCGUAAAACUCUGUUAUUAGGGAAGAACAUAUGUGUAAGUAACUGUGCACAUCUUGACGGUACCUAAUCAGAAAGCCACGGCUAACUACGUG
rnacentral:rRNA from 1 species